rnacentral:lncRNA from 1 species
GCAAGGGGCUUGGACAGCUCUUUACAGCUCCCUCAUUUUGGGAAAGUCAUCCUCAAGGGAGCUGGGGACUUCGUCUGAGAUGAGAUGGUGGAAGAACCCCAAAGGGAACAGAAUCUCCACCUGGAGAGAGUGGACAUUUGUUGGCCCCAGUCCAGUUAUGGUCAGUACCUCCUCAAAGCCCAUCCUGACCUCAAACCAUGACCUCUUCCCACAGGCAAAGCCCCCUGGGAUUCCCCACCUCAGCAAGGCACCUGCACCGCUAGACAGGGAUGUUUGUUUGGCUUUAUUAUCUGCCCUUCUGGAAACAGAGUCCAUCAUUCCCUAUCAAAAUGAGCAACUGCAUUUCUUACUUCAGAGCUGGCUCAUUCUUACCUGGAAAAGAAAGAACAAGGGCACAUUUGGAGAGGGAGGAAAAUCAUAUGUUAUUUUUAAAAGGCAUUUGAGUGAGUGCUGAAUAGAGUUCAAGAAAAUUGCCUUAAAGACCUGUUCUCUGUGGGGAUGGUGUUUCUCAUGGCUCCCAAGUAUUUGGAAACUUAAUUGCACAUUUGUACGGGCCACUGUUUUUAUUUCUUUCUGGUCUCAGAGGUGGGCUUUGAAGAUUGUGCUCUCUCUGUAAUGGUUUUCUUUAUCUCAAAUAAAUUUCGCACACCUGCAAGGUAGAGCUGC